AAUAAGCGGAGGAAAAGAAACCAACAGGGAUUGCCUCAGUAACGGCGAGUGAAGCGGCAACAGCUCAAAUUUGAAAUCUGGCUCUCUCAGGGCCCGAGUUGUAAUUUGUAGAAGAUGCUUUGGGUGUGGCUCCGGUCUAAGUUCCUUGGAACAGGACGUCAUAGAGGGUGAGAAUCCCGUAUGUGACUGGUCGCCUUCGCCCGUGUAAAGCUCUUUCGACGAGUCGAGUUGUUUGGGAAUGCAGCUCAAAAUGGGUGGUAAAUUUCAUCUAAAGCUAAAUAUUGGCCAGAGACCGAUAGCGCACAAGUAGAGUGAUCGAAAGAUGAAAAGCACUUUGGAAAGAGAGUUAAACAGUACGUGAAAUUGUUGAAAGGGAAGCGCUUGCAACCAGACUUGCGCGCAGUCAAUCAUCUGGUGUUCUCACCGGUGCACUUUUCUGCGUUCAGGCCAGCAUCGGUUUAGGUGGUGGGAUAAAGGCCUUGGGAAUGUAGCUUCUUUCGGGGAGUGUUAUAGCCCUCGGUGCAAUGCCGCCUACCUGGACC
rnacentral:rRNA from 1 species